CCCCUAGAUGUUCUGGGCCGCACGCGCGCUACACUGAACAGUUCAACAAGUCUUAACCUUGGCCGAUAGGUCUGGGUAAUCUUUGAACGCUGUUCGUGAUUGGGAUAGACCUUUGCAAUUAUGGGUCUUCAACGAGGAAUUCCUAGUAAACGCAAGUCAUCAGCUUGCAUUGAUUACGUCCCUGCCCUUUGUACACACCGCCCGUCGCACCUACCGAUUGAAUGGUCCGGUGAAAUCUCGGGACGGCGGCUUGGUCGCUUGCGUCCGACUGCUGAAACUUGAUUAAACCAUAUCAUUUAGAGGAAGGCGAANUCGUANCA
rnacentral:rRNA from 1 species